AAUGAACGCUGGCGGCAUGCCUAACACAUGCCAGUCGAACGAGACCUUCAGGUCUAGUGGCGCACGGGUGCGUAACGCGUGGGAACCUGCCCUUAGGUUCGGAAUAACUCCCCGAAAGGGGUGCUAAUACCGGAUAAUGUCUUCGGACCAAAGAUUUAUCGCCUUUGGAUGGGCCCGCGUUGGAUUAGCUAGUUGGUAGGGUAAAAGCCUACCAAGGCGACGAUCCAUAGCUGGUCUGAGAGGAUGAUCAGCCACACUGGGACUGAGACACGGCCCAGACUCCUACGGGAGGCAGCAGUGGGGAAUAUUGGACAAUGGGCGAAAGCCUGAUCCAGCAAUGCCGCGUGAGUGAUGAAGGCCUUAGGGUUGUAAAGCUCUUUUACCCGGGAUGAUAAUGACAGUACCGGGAGAAUAAGCUCCGGCUAACUCCGUG
rnacentral:rRNA from 1 species